rnacentral:rRNA from 1 species
GUCUUAUUGAUAAAAGAUAAUAAGUCAAUUUCUGCCCAUUGAAAAUUUAUUUAAAAGGCUGCAGUAUAUUAACUGUACAAAGGUAGCAAAAUAAAUAGUUUUUUAAUUGAAAACUUGAAUGAAAGAGUUAAUAAAAUAUAAAUUGUUUCAAAUUAAUUUAAUUGAAUUUAAAUAAAAAGUAAAAAUGCUUUUAUUUAUUUAUUAGACGAUAAGACCCUAAGAAUUUAAUAAUUUAAAUUUUAAAUUGAUUUAAAUAAAAAAAGUUAUUUAAUUUUUAAAUUAUUUUAUUGGGAGGAUAAUUAAAUUAAACUUUAAUUUUUAAAAAAUAUUUAAUAAAUAAAAAUUUAAAUGAUUAAUUUUUUAAUUAUAAGAAUUAAUUACCUUAGGGAUAACAGCGUAAUAAUUUUGGAGAGUUCAUAUUGAUAAAAUUGUUUGCGACCUCGAUGUUGAAUUAAAAUAAAAGUUAAAUGUAGAUAUUUAAAUUUUUAGUCUGUUCGACUAUUAAAAUUUUACA